rnacentral:rRNA from 1 species
GACGAACGCUGGCGGCGUGCUUAACACAUGCAAGUCGAACGGAAAGGCCCUGCUUUUGUGGGGUGCUCGAGUGGCGAACGGGUGAGUAACACGUGAGUAACCUGCCCUUGACUUUGGGAUAACUUCAGGAAACUGGGGCUAAUACCGGAUAGGAGCUCCUGCUGCAUGGUGGGGGUUGGAAAGUUUCGGCGGUUGGGGAUGGUCUCGCGGCUUAUCAGCUUGUUGGUGGGGUAGUGGCUUACCAAGGCUUUGACGGGUAGCCGGCCUGAGAGGGUGACCGGCCACAUUGGGCCUGGGGUACGGCCCAGACUCCUACGGGAGGCAGCGGGGGGGAAUAUUGCACAAUGGGCGGAAGCCUGAUGCAGCAACGCCGCGUGCGGGAUGACGGCCUUCGGGUUGUAAACCGCUUUCGCCUGUGACGAAGCGUGAGUGACGGUAAUGGGUAAAGAAGCACCGGCUAACUACGUG